rnacentral:miRNA from 1 species
GUGGGGCAUCUUCCAUGGAACU